GACGAACGCUGGCGGCGUGCCUAAUACAUGCAAGUCGAACGCAGUGGGGACGGGUGAGUAAACCGUGGGUAACCUCCCAUCAGAGGGGAUAACACUUGGAAACAGGUGCUAAACCGAUACUGAUGGAUGAACCCGCGGUGCAGUAGCUAGUUGGUGAGGUAACGGCUCACCAAGGCCCCGAUGCAUAGCGCACCGGAGAGUGUGAUCAGCCACACUGUGACGGUGACACGGCCCAGACUCCUACGGGAGGCAGCAGUAGGGAAUCUUCGGCAAUGGACGAAAGUCUGACCGAGCAACGCCGCGUGAGUGAAGAAGGUCUUCGGGUCGUAAAACUCUGUUGUUAGAGAAGCGGUAUCUAACCAGAAAGCCACGGCUAACUACGUGCCAGCAGCCGCGGUAAUAC
rnacentral:rRNA from 1 species